AGCAUCAUGUUGGUGCUCAGAAAGUUUCAGAUUUGGGAGCAUUUCGGAUUUUGGAUUUUUGGAUUAGGGAUGCUCAA
rnacentral:miRNA from 10 species